GACGAACGCUGGCGGCGUGCCUAAUACAUGCAAGUCGAACGAGAGCGACCGGUGCUUGCACUGGUCAAUCUAGUGGCGAACGGGUGAGUAACACGUGGGUAACCUGCUCAUCAGAGGGGGAUAACAUCCGGAAACGGAUGCUAAAACCGCAUAGGUCUUCGAGCCGCAUGGCUUGAAGAGGAAAAGAGGCGCAAGCUUCUGCUGAUGGAUGGACCCGCGGUGCAUUAGCUAGUUGGUGAGGGAACGGCUCACCAAGGCCGUGAUGCAUAGCCGACCUGAGAGGGUGAUCGGCCACAUUGGGACUGAGACACGGCCCAGACUCCUACGGGAGGCAGCAGUAGGGAAUCUUCCGCAAUGGACGCAAGUCUGACGGAGCAACGCCGCGUGAGUGAAGAAGGUUUUCGGAUCGUAAAACUCUGUUGUUAGAGAAGAACAAGUGCUAGAGUAACUGUUAGCGCCUUGACGGUAUCUAACCAGAAAGCCACGGCUAACUACGUG
rnacentral:rRNA from 1 species